UUAAAUUAGAUUUCAAGUACUAUAUUAGUCUAUCCAUGUCUUGAACAAGUUGAACUAUAAAAUUCAGAGAUCCCAUAUUUUCUCAGACAGUAAAUGGAUGUAAUUGCCCUAGCUUAAAAAUUGUCACAAAUUCACAGCGAAUUAGAGAUCCAGUCUCGACUCUGGAGAACGAAAUAAUCAAAUGUAUAAACAAAUAUUUACCUUUAUAUGUUCGACGGCGAAGCGCUUGACUGAAUUUCAA